GAUCCUGGCUCAGAAUCAACGCUGGCGGCGUGCCUAACNACAUGCAAGUCGAACGCGAAAGUGGAGCAAUSSRUGAGUAGAGUGGCAAACGGGUGAGUAACACGUGGGUGACCUGCCUUCGAGUGGGGGAUAACGUCCCGAAAGGGACGCUAAUACCGCAUGACAUCCUGCCUUUGAAGAGGUGGAGAUCAAAGCCGGGGAUUCGCAAGACCCUGGCGCUUGAAGAGGGGCCCGCGUCUGAUUAGCUAGUUGGUGGGGUAACGGCUCACCAAGGCUACGAUCAGUAUCCGGCCUGAGAGGGCGGACGGACACACUG
rnacentral:rRNA from 1 species